CCUGCCCGUGCAGAUAAGGGGACGGGGAUGUGCGUGCGGGGUGAAAUCCCUUUCCUGCUCAGCAUCAUCCUGUCCCAUGCUCAGCAUCCUUUCCUCAUCUCAGCAUCAUGCUGUUCCCUCCUCGGCAUUUCUCCCAACCUCAGCAACCGCGGCACGAAGCAGCCCCGCUCCCGGUCCCCGCCCGGCGUCCCCACGCCCCGCCGCCAGACUCGCGGCGUGGGGCGUUUUUGGGGCGCCGCGUCGGCAGCCUGCAGCCCCUCCUGGAGGGCCAACCCUGCUACUCGCCAUUUAAAAAAACUUUCUUUUUUUCCGCCGUUUCUCCCAUUUGGCCCGGAGCCCGAGGGCGGAGAGGGGCUGAAGGAGCGACAGGGCGAGUGCUGGGCGGAGGGAGAAGAGUUGCGCUGCCGUGCACGGCUUCCCGCCCGCCGGGCGGCCACGGAGGGGUCUGGCCUUGGCCAGCCCGUCCGCCUGCGCUCCCCGGCCAAGGAAAAGCUUCUUGGCAGUGCCGCCGGCCCGGGGGAAAGAGGCUUGGGGCGCCCGGCAGAAAGGGGCGGGGAGCAUCCCUACUCCAGAGCCACCCUUCGCGGGGCUGAGGCAGGGCAGCCGGCAUCCCACCUUCGCCGGGGCCAGGACGGAGGGCAAGGCGGCCACUGUCCGUGGGGAACGGGCGGGGAGGCGCUGCAAACGAUGUCGAGAUAGCAGGCAGAAGCAGCCCACCUCAAACAACACACCACCCUCGCUCCUUCCGAGCCGGCCGGGCGAUCCGUGAGCCUCCCCUUCCGAGCAAUCCCAAAACAUAAGGUGAACUGGACAUCAAUCCAUUCUCCCUGGCUCAUCUGCUGUGGUGCUAACUUAGAUAAUGUACUGCAUUUUUCUACUAGGAACAGAAGUAAAGUUCAAUAUCUGUCCCUACGGAG